AUAUGUGGUUUAUGUUUGUAAACUUCAUAAUAGGUAAUGAAAAAAAAUUGUGGAUGUGGCGGAAUAGGUAGACGCAGCAGACUUAAUGUUAUUGGGUGCCCAUAGAGAAAUCGAUGGAGUAGAACUGCUCAAAUUCGGGGAAAGCUUUUGCAAAGCUAAUCCCGAGCCAAAUCUUGUUAUUCAAGAGAGGUGUAGAGACUGGACGGGCAGCACCUAAGGCAUUUAAAACGUUAUGGUGAAGGGACAGUCCAGACCACAAACACUGCAAA
rnacentral:ncRNA from 1 species